CCUGAGGCCAGUUAUGUCACCAUAUCAGAGGGCAUUGUUGAGGCGAACUGCUCAGCUGUAUCACGUCCUCCAGCAAAUAUCUCCUGGAACAUGGAGGGUCAAAAUCAAACACUGGGCCCUGCUGUCACAUCAUAUUACCAGCUAGGGGACGGCACCACAAUGGUGGUCCGUUCCAUUCAAAUGCAGGCUGAGCUACUGGACGAUAAACUUGUGAAGUGUGAAGUUCAUCACCAAGGCCUUGAGUCUGCAAUGUAUGUGUUUCUGAAUAAAUAUAGGAACAUCCAUGUCAUUCUCAUCUCAGCCAGCUGUGUGGUCCUUGUGCUGCUCGUAUGUCUGUGUAUCUGCCUGAAGAGGUGUUAACUUUACCUGCUGAGAUGGCUGACUGAAAUGAAAGUUAAUGCUGCUGUGUCCAGAUGUUCUCCCUGACCAAACAACAGUGUUCCCUCUGUCUGAGUCACAGACAAAUCUGAGUCAACGUCUUCUAAUAUAACUGAUAUUCAGUGUAACAGUAUCAAAACAAACAUUUAAUCACUACACUAAAUGCCUUAUUUAUUAUAGAUGGUAGAUUUUAGUAAAGCAGUUUUUCUAGUGACUCAUUCUCAUUAAAGUAUCUUAAAUCUAAGCAGACUUAUCUGAAAGCUGACAUUCUGUAACCACAGAGAGGUCAGUGGCCAGAAAAAAGAAAAAAAAAGUUAUUGUUAGCUUUACUGAUGUUUUGAUGUGUGUAAUAAAAUAACAAAGUUUUAUCAGGGGAAGCACUCUUUUAGACAUGAGCAGCUAAAUGGCCUUUGGUGCCAAGUCAUUGUCUUGAUGUUUGGAUUAAAGUGAUUCAAUUAUUACAAACAUUUUCCCUCUAGAGGGAAGUACACUCAUAGCUUAAAACAUUUAGUCCAUCUGUGUCAUUCUGAAGUGAGGCGGUUUCAUCCCCCUUCUACACCUCCUUGUGUUUUAUGUGUUUUGUAUGAUGUUCUCUGAAACCUCUCAAAUAAUAAAGGAAC